UUAAGUGGAAAAGUGAACGUUUGUUUGAGCUGCUUCAUAUGUCCAGUUAUAGACUCUACAGGGUCAGAAAUAUGAAUAUAUAAAAAGCUAAAGAGAGAAUAGCUCUAGUGUGGUAUCGUUUACAAAAUAGCCCUAACUCUGGGAAUUGCUAUUAUAUGCAUUAGAGUAAAUACUAAUAGAGAUAAACAGUAUGGUGACUGUCCCGAGGUGUGAGGUAAGAUUAAUGUUAAUCCCCGAGCUUCAUGAAGUGAAAUCUGCUAAAAGUGAGGAACAGCCCUGGGCAGUAUGAAUAUAUAUUGAUCUUGCGAUAAAAUUCCCUAUGCUGUGGCAUUGUGGGAGGCUGUGGAUCAGGUGGUAGAGCGGGUUGUCCACUAACCGCAGGGUUGGCGGUUUGAUUCACCGCCCAUUUGACUCCAUACGCCUAAGUGUCCUUGGGCAAGACACUGAACCCCAAGUUCCUCCUAAUGUCAAGUUAGCACCUUGCGUGGCAACUCUGCUACCAUUGGUGUGUGUGUGUGUGUGAAUGGGUGAAUGAGAACCAGUGUAAAGCGCUUUAGAACCAUAGGGGUUAAGAAAGUGCAGACCAUUUCCCAUGCUUUUCUGUGAUAUAAUGGAUAUUCUGAUAUCCUUGGGUUAAAAAAAAAAUAAUUACAAAUUGUUAAAAGUUUUUAAAAUUAGAAGUGAAUAGAAGUAGUUAGAAGUUAGUAGUAGUUAGAAGUAGAAGUGGUUAGAAGUGAAUAGAAGUAGAAGUAGUUAGAAGUAGAAGUGAAUAGCAGUAGUUAGAAUUAGAAGUAGUUAGAAGUGAAUAGAAGUAGGUAGAAGUAGAAGUGAAUAGAAGUAGGUAGAAGGGAAUAGAAGUGGUUAGAAGUAGAAGUGAAUAGAAGUAGUAGAAUAGAAUAGAAGUAGAAGUGAAUUGAAGUGAAUAGAAGUAGAAGUGAAUAGAAGUGAGUAGAAGUAGAAGUAGUUAGAAGUGAGUAGAAGUGAAUAGAAGUAGAAGUGAGUAGAAGUAGUAAUGAGUAGAAGUAGAAGUGAGUAGAAGUAGUUAGUAGAAGUGAGUAGAAGUAGAAGUGAGUAGAAGUAGAAGUGAGUAGAAGUAGAAGUGAGUAGAAGUAGAAGUAGUUAGAAGUAGAAGUGAGUAGUUAGUAGAAGUGAGUAGAAGUAGUUAGUAGAAGUGAAUAGAAGUAGAAGUGAAUAGACGUAGAAGUACUUAGUAGAAGUGAGUAGAAGUAGAAGUGAGUAGAAGUAGUUAGAAGUAGAAGUGAGUAGUUAGUAGAAGUGAGUAGAAGUAGUUAGUAGAAGUGAGUAGAAGUAGAAGUAGAAGUGAGUAGAAGUAGUUAGAAGUAGAAGUGAGUAGUUAGUAGAAGUGAGUAGAAGUAGUUAGUAGAAGUGAGUAGAAGUAGUUAGUAGAAGUGAGUAGAAGUAGAAGUAGAAGUGAGUAGAAGUAGUUAGAAGUAGAAGUGAGUAGUUAGUAGAAGUGAGUAGUUAGAAGAAGUGAGUAGAAGUGAAUAGAAGUAGAAGUGAGUACUUAGUAGAAGUGAGUGGAAGUAGAAGUAGUUAGUAGAAGUGAGUAGAAGUGAAUAGAAGUAGAAGUGAGUAGAAGUAGAAGUACUUAGUAGAAGUGAGUAGAAGUAGAAGUAGUUAGUAGAAGUGAUUAGA
ensembl:lncRNA